rnacentral:rRNA from 1 species
UACGUAGGGGGCAAGCGUUGUCCGGAAUUAUUGGCGUAAAGAGCGCGUAGGCGGUCCGGUAAGUCGGUUGUGAAAGUCGGGGGCUCAACCCUCGGAUGCCGAUCGAUACUGUCGGGCUAGAGUCCGGAAGAGGCGAGUGGAAUUCCGUGGUGUAGCGGUGAAAUGCGCAGAUAUCAGGAGGAACACCAGCGGCGAAGGCGGCGCUCUGGGCCGGAACUGACGCUGAGGAGCGAAAGCGUGGGUAGCAAACAGG